GAUGAACGCUGGCGGCGUGCCUAAUACAUGCAAGUCGAGCGAACAGACGAGGAGCUUGCUCCUCUGACGUUAGCGGCGGACGGGUGAGUAACACGUGGAUAACCUACCUAUAAGACUGGGAUAACUUCGGGAAACCGGAGCUAAUACCGGAUAAUAUAUUGAACCGCAUGGUUCAAUAGUGAAAGACGGUUUUGCUGUCACUUAUAGAUGGAUCCGUGCCGCAUUAGCUAGUUGGUAAGGUAACGGCUUACCAAGGCAACGAUGCGUAGCCGACCUGAGAGGGUGAUCGGCCACACUGGAACUGAGACACGGUCCAGACUCCUACGGGAGGCAGCAGUAGGGAAUCUUCCGCAAUGGGCGAAAGCUUGACGGAGCAACGCCGCGUGAGUGAUGAAGGUCUUCGGAUCGUAAAACUCUGUUAUUAGGGAAGAACAAAUGUGUAAGUAACUAUGCACGUCUUGACGGUACCUAAUCAGAAAGCCACGGCUAACUUCGUG
rnacentral:rRNA from 1 species